rnacentral:misc_RNA from 1 species
AAAAUCAUGCACUAUGUCAUGCAUUUUACAUGAAUAUGAAAUGUCAUAGAAAUCGUCAACUAUGUUGAUAUCUUGGAAGAAAGAGCGUGAAGCUAAAUUCUGAAAAUACUCCUCACCAAUUCUCUCCAUGUCUUUUUUUGUUGUUUCCUUAAUAUAACCAUGUGCCAUCCACAACUCUAUCAGUUUUCGUUUUUCCAUCAAAUGGUCCUUGGGGAAAAUGGCACAAUAAGAAAAACAUUGCCUCAAUGGUGGGGACAAAUCAUUAUAACUAAGCCAUAAAUGGGGAAAAAUAUCAACUUCAGCAUUUUCUAGUUCCCACACCUCACUAUCCAUGAUGGUUUGCCACUCACUUUUGGAUUUUUUGGUGACCAAAAUACUUCCUAGAGUCUUCACUGCAAGAGGCAAUCCUUUGCACCUGCUUACAAUUUUCUUACCAAUGUGUUCGAAUGGCUCACGCUCUCCACUGCUCCAUCCCAAAAAUGCAAUUUGACUAAAUAGAAACCAAGAAUCUUCUGCGGACAAUUGUCCUAUUUUGUGUAUGUCAAUGCAACCUAUUGCACUUGCAACAAUCUCCUUACGUGUGGUCACCAAAAUUCUACUUCCUGGCGAACCACAUUUGAGACAAUCUUUCAAUUGUACCCAUUUUGCAGAAUUUUCUUCCCACACAUCAUCAAGUAUGAGAAGAAACUUCUUCCCUUCUAGAGAUUUGCGUAUGUUUUGCAGUAUAGUUUGCAAUUCAUGCAAAUUUGGAGCCUCAUUUGUGAGAGAUUCAAGGAUCGCCUUGGCAAUCUUAAUCUCAUCAAAGGGAUCCGAUACACAAACCCAUAUUCUCGUUUCGAAAUGGGUUUUCACCUCAUCAUCGUUGUAGACUAAUUUGGCCAAAGUAGUUUUUCCAAUUCCCCCCAUCCCUACAAUAGAGAUGAUGUGGAGGCUUGGUGUUUGGCUACUCUCAGUCAACAACUUCUUCAUUAUUGCUUUUUGUUCCUGGUCUCUACCUUUGACCUCUGCUACAUCAAUGAAAGAUGUAGUUGUAAAUCGCUCAACUUGUUUAGUUUCCUUUUGAAAACUAACAAAGUUGAACGCACGCUGUUGAUCAACAAUGCUAUCUAAUCCUGCAUUAAGAUCUUUAAUCUUGACAGCAAUAUCAUGACGUACACCAACUCCUCUAAAACGAAAGCAAGAGAAGCAGAUUAAGCAGCGUACCUUCCUCUUAUUCUC